UCCCGUUGCCGUCCGCUCCCUCCCCGGCGCUGGCGGGGCAGGUAACGGUCACCCCGCGCCGGGCGGGCGGCAGCAGCGCCCGAAGGGGUCCGGCUGGGGGACGGCGCUUGGGUGCGCGCUGGGCACCGGCGGGCGUCUGACCGACUGCCGGUCCCCGGCCGCGUCGGCCGCGCUGCUUCCCCUGAAAACUUCGAGAUCCGGUUCAAAGGAGGCGGCGGUGAGCCCCUCCGCCUCAGCUGCUCGCCUUCCUCGCCUUCAGCCUCGACUGUCGUAACCUAACAACAAGUGGAGACUUCCUUUUUAUGUAAAAGCUGUAGGAUAUUUUUCCAGACUAAGAGUUCCCAGUGUGCGACACAAAAAUUACUGCAACAUAGAAAACUACAGAGUCAUGAGCCAGCACGUAGCCAACUUUUAGCCCUAUGUGGAGAGGUAGUGGAGGGAAUCUGUUCCUGGCUGCUGUAAAUGUGUGCCUGCAAACAGAGAAAACAAACAACACGGGGUAGUUUUCAUUUGUUCUGAAGUUCAUGCAGUUCAGCAGCAUGCACUGUUUGUGAAGGAGAAAGCCUCACCUGGCUGGACUUAGCAGUAUGCAUUGCACGUUGGGGUUGAAGGUACACUUCUGGGUUCCAAAAUUUCAGGACCACAGAGAGCCUGUUAUAGUCCUCUUCUGAAUGUGGAGAGCACAGCAAGGAAUGUAGGCUUGUUAACACCCUGUGAGAGAAAGGUGGGGCUUGCUUUCUGCUCUGCAUGACUGGGGCCUAGCAAAGAAGCAGGAGCCUGUGCGAUUGCUGGUGUAGUGCUGUCAUUGCUAAUGAUGGUAGCAAAAAGCAUGCCCAGUUUGAGAAUGCCUGUAAUACAUCAUCCUCAUACAUCAUACAACAUUAAGCAGUUAAUAGAAUGUCAUUACUUUAACAAAAAAAGCAAAAACAGGCUUCAGCUGUUGAUGUCAUCUGACCCACAUACAAAUGUUAUGCUACUUUCUCUCCAUAAUCCUGAAGGUGUUGGUUGAGCUGACUUAUCAGGAGUUUGCUGUUCUCAAUUUUUCUUCAUAAGAACUCCCUAUAACCUGGGGGGAGUACUUUUACAUGAGGGAGAGAUGUGAAAAACUGCUGUACUCAGGCUGAUCCCUUCCAUACUAAUGGACAACAAUGAGCUUUUAAAAGCUGGUGGAAAUGAGAGUUGCACAAAAAAAGCAGAAAGACACGUAGAUCUUCACUGGUGCCAUGCCUCAACUGCAUCAAAAUCUAUUUCAGUACAACUGGGGAAUUAGCCCAUUAGGUGGUAUAAUGAAAACAUUAUGAGUCAUGUCAAGUGAAAUGAGUGAAAAGGCCUCAUGCAUGAGAACCACGUGACAAGGUCCAGAAACACAGGCACUUUAGCAAAACACUAGAAUUCUCAAUUUUAAGACAGCGAUAAGUGAUCUGAUUGUUGAUCUAAGGUUGGUUCAUCUACAGAGAGGAUUUUGUUUAAGCAUUUAAUCACAGACCUGCUUCAACCAAUGGUAAUCACUUUGUCAUUUAUCCAAGAGGCUGAACAGAAGUUACAUAUAUUUUCAUUUAGGUGAAAGUGAUAGUCAAAACUUGAACUUUAGGGAAAAGAAAAAUGGAUAGAAAGAUUUCUGCAAAAUUUUUAAGAAGUGUUUGAAAAGGUUUUCUGCCCCAUAAGCACUUUCAAAUCUAAGCUUCCCAGUAAGUGUUGAAAAUAAAACUAGAUCCUUGUGGUAGAAUAUUUAGAAAUAAAUGUAUUGGUUUUAUUAUAAAGUUACUUCUUUAUUUUCAUUCUAUGAU